ACCGUUCGUCUUAUUUAAAAUUUUUUUAUGAUUAGUAUUUUUAUUGUUAUUAGAUGACAAAACAUGAAUAGUACUUUAUGUGUGACUAAUUUUUUAAAAAUUUUCAUAAAUUUUUCAAAUAAGACGAACGGU
rnacentral:pre_miRNA from 1 species